rnacentral:rRNA from 1 species
GACAUAGGUGGCGAACGUUAUCCGGAUUCAUUGGGCGUAAAGGGUGCGUAGGUGGCGGGGUAAGUCAGGUGUGAAAUCUCGAGGCUCAACCUCGAAACUGCACUUGAUACUGCCUUGCUCGAGUACUGGAGAGGAGAUUGGAAUUUACGGUGUAGCAGUGAAAUGCGUAGAUAUCGUAAGGAAGACCAGUGGCGAAGGCGAAUCUCUGGACAGUUACUGACACUGAGGCACGAAGGCCAGGGGAGCAAACAGG